UGGUGGCGAGUGGCGAACGGGUGAGUAAUACAUCGGAACGUGUCCUGUAGUGGGGGAUAGCCCGGCGAAAGCCGGAUUAAUACCGCAUACGAUCUACGGAGGAAAGCGGGGGAUCUUCGGACCUCGCGCUAUAGGGGCGGCCGAUGGCAGAUUAGCUAGUUGGUGGGGUAAAGGCCUACCAAGGCGACGAUCUGUAGCUGGUCUGAGAGGACGACCAGCCACACUGGGACUGAGACACGGCCCAGACUCCUACGGGAGGCAGCAGUGGGGAAUUUUGGACAAUGGGGGCAACCCUGAUCCAGCAAUGCCGCGUGUGUGAAGAAGGCCUUCGGGUUGUAAAGCACUUUUGUCCGGAAAGAAAACUUCGUCCCUAAUAUGGAUGGAGGAUGACGGUACCGGAAGAAUAAGCACCGGCUAACUACGUGCCAGCAGCCGCGGUAAUACGUAGGGUGCGAGCGUUAAUCGGAAUUACUGGGCGUAAAGCGUGCGCAGGCGGUCUGUUAAGACCGAUGUGAAAUCCCCGGGCUUAACCUGGGAACUGCAUUGGUGACUGGCAGGCUUUGAGUGUGGCAGAGGGGGGUAGAAUUCCACGUGUAGCAGUGAAAUGCGUAGAGAUGUGGAGGAAUACCGAUGGCGAAGGCAGCCCCCUGGGCCAACACUGACGCUCAUGCACGAAAGCGUGGGGAGCA
rnacentral:rRNA from 1 species